CCUAAAGAAUGAUACUUGUUAGCACUAAAAACACUUUUGGAAAAAUACCUCAAUAAAGGUUUUUUAAAUAAAGAUGAGUUUAAUUUUGUGUUGUUUUCUGCCACUCCAACCCAUAUAUGUAUCCUUUUUCAUAGAUCCAUAAGGAUUUGGUUAAUCCUCCUGUUAGGCCAAUGAUAUCUGGAGUGGCUUCCCUUACACCCAAUUCAUCUAACACUGUUGAUAUUUAGGACUGUGCAGAUAUUGUAGGUCUCUUGGCCGGUACAGUAGAUUGUCACAUGUUUUUUUGUCACAGUAUGUCACUUCACUAUUUAGCUGUAAUGAGUAAAGGAUGGGUAAUCUACCUGUUAGCAUUACAUUGAGAAGGCAAG